UAGGGAAUCUUCCGCAAUGGGCGAAAGCCUGACGGAGCAACGCCGCGUGAGUGAUGAAGGUUUUCGGAUCGUAAAACUCUGUUAUUAGGGAAGAACAUAUGUGUAAGUAACUGUGCACAUCUUGACGGUACCUAAUCAGAAAGCCACGGCUAACUACGUGCCAGCAGCCGCGGUAAUACGUAGGUGGCAAGCGUUAUCCGGAAUUAUUGGGCGUAAAGCGCGCGUAGGCGGUUUUUUAAGUCUGAUGUGAAAGCCCACGGCUCAACCGUGGAGGGUCAUUGGAAACUGGAAAACUUGAGUGCAGAAGAGGAAAGUGGAAUUCCAUGUGUAGCGGUGAAAUGCGCAGAGAUAUGGAGGAACACCAGUGGCGAAGGCGACUUUCUGGUCUGUAACUGACGCUGAUGUGCGAAAGCGUGGGGAUCAAACAGGAUUAGAUACCCUGGUAGUCCACGCCGUAAACGAUGAGUGCUAAGUGUUAGGGGGUUUCCGCCCCUUAGUGCUGCAGCUAACGCAUUAAGCACUCCGCCUGGGGAGUACGACCGCAAGGUCG
rnacentral:rRNA from 1 species